UUCAAUGCCUUGAUCUUGUUGAGGUUUCCAAUUUCAGGAGGAAUCUCUCCUGUGAAAUUGUUGCAUGAGAAAUCAAUUCCUGUUAAGUACUGGAUAAUGCUUCCUUUAUAAGGAAAGGAUACAUUCUUUAUUGUAAACUCGAAAGAUUGUUGUGAUGAGAACAUAGAAUAAUGGGAAUUGUAUUGAAUAGGGAAAGGAUGAGUAGAUAUCAUCCAAGAGAGGAUGUUACCAGAAAGAUAAUUGUGAGAUAGAUCAAUCACGGUUAAUUGGUCCAACCUGCAUAAUCGAAUUGGGAUUUCACCUUCAAGAUUGUUAUAACUCAAGAGUAGAAAUCUCAAGUUAGAUAGCCUGUCAAUCCAUUCUGGAAUUCUACCAGUUAAAUCAUUAUGGGAAAGAUCUAAUGCGAAUAUCUCAGAGGAGUCAGAAAAUGCCAUUGCGAUCGGUCCUUGCAACCUAUUUCUAGACAAAAAAACAUCUCUUAAUUUUGAAGAAGUGCCGAAUCUAGGUGGUAAAGGACCAGAUAAAUUGUUCCUUGAUAGGUCCAAGAAUUCAAGAGAAGACAUAUUCCCAAUCCAUCCAGGGAUUUGCCCUUGCAAACUGUUGUUGGACAAGUCUAACUCGUACAUCAAGCUCAUGUUACCUAAUGAGGAAGGAAUGCUUCCAUUGAAACCAUUAUCAGACAUCAAUAAAACUUCUAACCCUGAAAAAUGAGCUCCAAUUUCUGAAGGGAUUUGUCCUUGGAAGUGAUUCAUUGAUAUACUUAGGAAUGACAAAUUCACAUGAGAACUCUUUGGCAACAAGAAUGGACCUGAAAGAGAACAGUUUUCUAAAGAAAGAAGUUUGAGGUAUGUGUUGUUCUCAAUCAACCAAUUUGGAAACUCUCCCUUUAUUUGGAUGUUUGUAAGAUCCAAAGAUUGUAGGCUGAACUGAUGGUAAAGGAACUUGGGAAAUGCUCUCGUAUUUUGUCCACCAUUGCUCAAAGAGAGGGACUCUAACUGGAACUUUGGGGUGAGAUUAUGAUCAUCUUCUUCUGCGUAUAUUUCAUUCCCUGAACCAUAAAAAGACUUGAGUUUUGAAAGGUUGUAUAACGGGCUCAAUGACAUAGGUAUCUUCAAGUGAUUGGAAGAGAGAUAUAGUCGUUGAAGGGAAGUCAUAUUUGCCAGACACGGAGGCAAGAAACCACUUAGAUCAUUGUCAUUCAUAUAUAGCUCUUGAAGAUGAUUUAAGUCACAUAGGCCUGAUCACAUUAUAAUUUAGGAAAAAAAAAUUAAAACUUUGAGUUUCUAAUGGAAAAGAUAUAACCUAGGGAGAGGGUAAGAGUCAUCAACCUUACCUUGGGUUGUAGGUAAUUGGCCAUUUAGACUACAAUUCUGCAACCAUAAAGUUUUGAGAGAGGGCAUCGUUCUGAUGGUUUGUAAGAUGUUGUUACUGAGAGUAUUGGAACUUAAAUCCAAGAAUUCCAAGUUCUUGAGAUUAAAGAAGCCUACCACAAUCAAGAAAUUAUAUUAAUGUAGAAGCAAUUAAAAUUAUAAAGGAAAUGAAAGAGUAAGAGUCAUCAACCUUACCCUGGGUUGUAGGUAUUCGACCAUCUAGUCUGCAGCUGUGCAAAAUCAAAGUUCUAAGAGAGGUCAUUGUUCCGAUGGCUUGGAAGAUGCUAUUAUUGAGAGUAUUGUAACUCAAAUCCAAGUAUUCCAAGUUCUUGAGAUCAAGGAAGCCUGCCACAAUCAAUUAGACAAGAAAUUAUAUUAAUGUAGAAGGAAUGAAGAUUAGAAAUAAUUCAUUACUUAUUAAUCGUGGCUAAAAAAACUAAAAAUAUCCAGUAAGUGUAGAAAUUGUAUUGUCCAUUUAAGAGAAUGAUUUUUUAUAUGUCUACCCCAAAAAACAAAUGCACCUUUGUUAAUUUAUUUUUCUCCUAAAAAUAGCACUCUCUGUAUAUGAAGUUACCUUUUUAUUAAAGAAAUUAUUGUUUUUUAUGUUAUCAUUAUAUUUACUUUACAUUGAAAUGGUGUUGAGAGAGGGGUAAAGUUAAAGUGAAAUAUUAUUUAUAUUAAAUAGAUGGUAGAAUUUUAAAAUAAUAAAGAUUUCAAUUGAGUUAAUUUCUAAAUUUGAGGUUUAAUUGUCUCUCCAAGACUUGUUUAGUAGGUUGCGAAAACAUAAAAGAGGAAUUUUAUGCAAACACAUCUAAUCGUAGCAGGCCAUUGAGUGCUUGCAAAGACAGGUGUUUUAGAGAAGUAGAAAGGUCAAUGAUAAGUAAUAGUGGAGUUUAAAGUUGUUAAUUUACCUCUAGAAAGUACAAUGCCAUUGAGUGCUUGUAAUGACAUGUUUUUUAGAGAAGACAGUGCUCCAAGGCUUUGAAGAGAGUAUUCAUCUAGAGAACAACCGUCCAGAUACAAACUUUGCAAGGAGCUUAAAUUUUGCAACUCUGUUCAAAAGUAGCAAGUUGAAUUUUUCAAUUAAACCCAAAUAUAUAAACAUCACUGUAUAUAAUAUAUAACUUACCGUCACUUAAUAUUCUUCCUAUAAAAUCAUUGUAUCCCAUAGAAAGUUUCGUGAGGUUUGGGAAUGCUCGUAAUGAUUGCAGUAACUGGAAGCUACUUCCAUAGGUUGUGAUAUUUUCUAGCCAUAGACUCCUCAAGUUGCUUGGACCUGCAAGUUAGUUGGGGAAAAAACGUAUAGAUAUUAUUAAUAUUGUCCAAAAGCAAAAAUAAUUAAUAUUAUUAAUAUGGGCUCAAAUAUUAUCUUCAUGAUACCAUGUAAUGUGGAAGUUACUACUUACCUCUUGAGACUAUCAAUUUGUUAAUAUUGUUGCCGUUCAAAUACAAGAUCUCCAAGCUACUCAAAGAUUCUUGAUAUUUAUAAAAAUAAUAGUUAAUUAAUUCAUUACAAAACAUAAAUUGUGUUUUUUGAAAUUAAAUUUAAUAGAUAAUUGUGUUAAUUAAAUUUAAUAUUUAUAAUAAUAAUAGUAUAUAAAAAACCUAACCUUUCAAAUCUAUUAACCCCUUCCAAUCUAUAUAUCCAAAUAUAUAUUUAAGAGAGGAAGCAACUCCACAAAUGAUAGAAUACUACUAUCAAAACGAUUAAUUCCCAAGUCAAGAUACUUCAAAUUGCUUAGUUUCUGUAACUCAUAACCACCUAUAUAAAAAAAUAAAUUAAAUAAGAUUUCACAUGAAGAAUAAAAAAAGAUAUUAUUGGAGUAAUUUAAUUAUUAUUGAUGAAGAGUCAUGUAAUUAUUACAGUGACUUCAUGUAAAGAGGUUGAGAUGAUAAAAGUAAAAGUAAAAGGAGUGAUUGUUACAGUGAUGAUGUCAUGAUUAUAUUAAUAAUCUAAGGAAUUAAACAACACCUUAUUGCUAAAUAUUUUCUUCGAUGAUGAAUUACUCUGGAGAACCAAAAUGAUAAUAACUAAAAAAGUAAUAUAAAUAUUUUGUAAUACUUAAAGAGCAAACCUUUCUUCUCAACCCAACCAGCUAUACGAUUACCCCACAAGUGGAGAGCGUUGAGUUGUUGAAAAGGAAGAAACAUGUACUGCUGUUGCACCCAAUUCUUUACCAAUCACAGCAGUGGGCGUCAGUUUCUAUCCAGGAGGGAAGGGAGGUGCCAUUGGGAUAGUUAAGAGAAUCUUUGAGGUGCAACAGAGCGAUCCUCUCUUCCUCCAAGCAACCAAGAGGAUGCCAUCCUUGCAGGGAAACCGUCAUCACUAACACCGUCAACACCUGAAGGAACAGCCCCAUCUUAAUAUCAAAAUAUAAAAGGUGAUCAAUAUUUGUUAUAGAGGACAGCUAGCGAGGAGGUUAAGGCUUUUAUAGAGGACUUUGCGGACCCAUGCCGUGGAAAAAACCGCAUAGUGGCAACGGACACAUCCCCUCAAGGACAAUAAAUAUUUAUAAUUCAAUGUUCAUGACUUUCUUAAGCAAAAUCAAUUAAAAAAAAUCUGAAAAAAAAUCUCAGUAAUUUUAAAAAAUAUCUUAAUGAAAAACACACUCAGCAGCCACAUAAGUUAGAAGCUUCAUUUUUUUGGUUGAAAAAAAAAUUCCACUUCAUGGUCGCAUCCUCUCUCUCUUGUUUUUUUCUUAAUUUUUCAAUUGGCCGAAGUCCUAUUAAUAUUUUUUUGAUGCCGUGUUUUUUUCCUACUAAACACUAAAUUUUUAAUAUAAUUAUCUUAUGAACACUUUUUUUUUUUAAGUUUUAACAAACUAAAAGGUUGUUUGAGAAUAAAUUUGAAAUCAUAUUUUUUAAAAAAUUAAUUUUUUUGUUUAAAAUUAUUUUUUAUAUUUUUUUAUCGUUAUCAUAUGUUAAUGUGAAAAAUAAUUUAAAAAAAAAUUAAAAAAAAAUUAUUUUAUUUUAUUUCAGUACAUAAUUCACAAUAUCUGAAUUCAUUUAUUUAACAUUUAUCUUUAAUAUAUAUAAUCUGAACAUAGUUUUGAAACCUGACCCGGCGGGUCGACCCGGGACCCGGCCGACCCAGGGCUGGAACCGGGCCGGAUUGAAGAAAAAAUAGGAAAAGUCAUGACCCGGUAUGACCCGGCCGACCCAGCGGGUUGACCCGGUGACCCAGUUGACUUUUGAUUGAUAAGAAAUGACAGCUGGUUUUUUUUUUUUUUAUUAACGUGGAUGUCUAGACCAGCUUGCACGUACAUCGAUUAAUCCCACAGACCUUGAAGUUAACGACCAUGUAAGUCUCCAAAGAUCAUGAGAGAACUUGAACUCGUGACUAUUAAAAAACAAACCCAAAACCUAACUAGUUAAACUACAUCUUAGAGUUUGGUUCUUAAUAUUCUUGAUAGCCUUGCAAGAGUAAUGAGUGUGUUUUUUCAUCACAUUCCUAGUUUUUUUUUUUUUUUUUUGUGUGUUAUUUUAUUUGCUGGCUUCUUCUCAAUUGCUUCAAUCUUAUUCAUGUUUUUCCACGAAAGACUUUGACUUGGGAUCAACUUUUCGGCUAAUUACUUUUAUGCAAUUCAAAUUUAUGUUAGUAAAAUCACUUUAAUUAUUCUUUCAAUAUUCCCGUACGUGUGAUUCACUGCUUGGUGAUUCUAAAGUCACCUGUUUAAAAUUUAGGACAGCUAAAUUUAUACGACUAAAUUUAUUCUUACGAUAUUAUUCCUUUGGUAUAUAGUAUAUAUUCAAACAUAAAAACAUGUUUUUUAUGUUCCCACUAUUUUUGUAUUUUAUAUCAUGGUGCCUGAUUACCAUAACACUAAGUCAUAAUAAAUAAAUAAAUAAAAUUGAUUGUGGAAUGGCACAUGUAUUCGGGGAAAAAUAAAAAAAAUAAUCUUAUUGCUAGAGAUGCAUUGGAGCCUUUAAUAUUUUGCAAAGGCAUGGAACACUGAUGGCGUCAGCCCAGAAAAUUCUAAAAUAUUCUCGUCAUUUCCAAGAAAAAUCUAUCAAGAGGAAUUCUUUAUUUAUUUGGUAGGCAAGCAAAGUCAAAAGGGAGUGGUAGCUCAUCAUUUCCAAGAAAAUUCUAUCAAGAAACGAAGAUAUUUUUGAAGAAUAACAGAAAAUAAAUAAAACCAAAGCAUUUCCCCAAUUUAUUUUUGAUAAUUUAGCUUUAAUUAAACUUAAGUUAAUUUUAAUUUUUUAUGAAAAGAUAAUAUUAAAAUAAAAUAUUAAAAUAAAAAAACACCAAAUAUGAGUGUCAUACCAUAAAUUUCGUAAAGAAUAUACUUUUAUUCUUAAAUUUUAAAAAUCACGCAAAUCAUACAAUUUCAGUACCUCAAUAUUUUUUCAAUUUGAUUUUAAUACAAAAAUUUAUUUUUGUUAUUUUUUAAUACAUGAUUGAGAGAGGAGAGAGAGGUCAUCAGAUUCUAGUGAUGGAGAAAAAAAAAUGCAUUAAUAUCGAUUUAGAUUACCAAAACAGACACUAUUUGUGUCAAAUAGCUUUAUUUAAUAAGGAAAGCUCAUAUUAAGUAUUUUUUUUAUCUUUAAAGUUCUUGAAAAAAUAAAUCUAAUCUUCGGUUGAUUUUCUACCUUGAAAGAAACAUGAUAAUUUUUUUUUUUUGUGUCUUAACACUACUGAUCACUUCUUUAAAUACGCAUUAUUGUUGAUGAAUGAGAAUUUAAGUGAAUCGAAUUUAAGGAUUUCUAGAAGAAUUAAUUCUCUUAAAUUUUGUCAUAUUUUUUGUUUUUGUUUUUAUUAAUUUGGCUUUUCUUUCUUAAUUUUUAAUAUGUUUUGGAUGAAAAUGAAAUAUUUUAUAUAAAUUUUAAAAACAACUAUGAGAUUUAUUCAUAAAUAUUUUGUGUGACUCUUUACUUAUAUAAACGGAUGAAGCAUGUAAAUUAUAGUAAUUUUUUUUUAUAAUAGUUUUAAUCUGAAUAUCUUUUAGGAAAAAAUGCAUGAUGGAAAUGUUCUCUCGGACCCACCUCAUGGGGAAAACAUGUACGAUGGCACCAUCCAACAGGCCCAUUCAUGGAAAAAUGGAUGAUGGCAAUGGUCUAACUCUUGGAAAAAAUGGAGAAAAAAAAAAAGCAGGAUGGUAUAGGACGGCAGUGUACUCUUCAUCACAGUCACUUUCGUUUUCGUUUUUGAUAUUAUUAAGUAUUGCUUGCGUGGAUUUUUUUUACUCCGCAAGGCCUCACUGUUUUCUCGAGUAAUAUUAAGGAUGGAUUAUAUAAAAUUUUAUAUUUUUCAAUUUAGUUUUCAAAUUUAGUUUUUGAUGAUUUAGUUCUAAUUAAUAAUCAAUUGAUUUUGAUUUUGAUUUUUUAUAUAAAAAAAUUAAAAAAAAAUAAAUCGAAAUAUAAAAAGAAAGUUAAACAUGGAUGUUAUAGUCUUACAAAAGAAACACUUUUACUCCCUUCAUUAUAUUUAUUCAUAUAAUUCUGUGUUACUAUUAUUUAUAUACAUGUGCCAAACUAGAAAAUUAUAAAUCUUCAAAACAACACUGAGAUUUAUUCAUAUAUAUUCUGUGUUACAAUUACUUAUAUAAAUGGAUGAAGCAUGAAAAUUAUAGAAGGAGAUUGUUACAUACUAAACUCUGAAGAUGAAAUUGAGAAAUCUCAAGAAUAAGUCGUUUCAGAAGCCAAGAAAGAAGAUAAAAAAAGAUGGAAAUUAAUGAGCUUCCUAGCGUUAACCUUUUAUUUAUGUUUUUUCAUUAAAGACUGACAUCAGCCUUAUUAAAUUUGAUUCGGCAGGAAAGGUUGAUGUGAGAUCUAGUUUAACCUGAGUUUAGAUAAAACUAAGUGAGAGUUUACCCGUUAAACUUGAAUGAUCAGAUUAGUUAACCCGUAAAUAGUUUAAUUUAAUCAAAACAUGGUUUUCUUUUUUAACUAUGCAAUUUUUACUUUUUUUUUUAAAAAAGAAUAUCUUAAAAUGACACAAUUUUAAAUUAACACCAGUAAACAUGAAAUAACCUGCACAAUCUAUUACCUAAACCCUGAUUACUCAUGGUCCGAUGAAGAGGACCUUCUUAAGCUAGUUGUAGUAUAUAGAGAAUUUCUUAAUAACAUCUUAGAAAUAUAAUUCACAUCCGAAUUAAUAAUAUAAUAGGUUUUAAUAUUUACUUUUAAUAUAUAUAUAUAUAUAUAUAUAUAUAACACACUAAAUUGAGAUUUUUUUAUACAAGAUGAAAUUAAAACAUAUUAUUCUUUCUCAAGCUUACGGGGCAAUAUAUUUAUUUUAUUUAAAAACUUGUAUUGAUUUUAUUUUUUUUCCAAUUUGAAUACUUGUAUUCACGAAAUGGUUAAUAAAAUAUCUUUGUUAGUUUUGUUAUAAAAUAAUGACAUCACAGUUAACUCCUUUUGAAUAACUCCUUUUAGAUGAGUUUGAAUUUAUUUUAUUUUAUUUUUAAUUUUUGAACUAUAAGAAUAUAGAUAAAUUUAAAAUAAAUAUUUUCUUACAAUAGUCUUAGAGUGAAAUUAGAGCAAAAUUUAUAAUUUUAAAAUAAAAAAUACAUAAAAACAUGUUUUUCUGUUCCCACUAUUUUUGUAUUUUAUAUCAUGGUAAUUAAAUGUUGCCUGAUUAACAUAACACUAAAUUAUAAUAUAAAAAAUUAAUUGUGGAAUGGCAUGGUAGUUGGAUCUAUUUGUUUUUUUUUUUUUCGUGUGUGUGAUUAAAUUAAUUAUCUCGAUAAAUGACACAUGUGUUUGGGGAAAAAUAAAAUUAAUUAUUGCUAGAGAGGCACUGGAGCAAUUGAUAUUUUGCAAAGGCAUGGAAUUCGAUGCCAAGGGAAUGUAAGAUAGUUGUUGACUAGACUGCUGGCGUCAACGUGAUAAAGCAAUUAAUUAUAGUUAGCAACGACAAGCUGAAUUCAAGUUAGAUUUAAAGUUGGAUAAUAACUAUUUUUUAAAAUAUUUUUAUUUGAAAAUAUAUUAAAAUAAUAUAUUUUUUAUUUUUUAAAAAAUAUUUUUGAUAUCAAUAUAUAAAAAAAUCAAAAAAUAUAAAAAAAUAAUUUUAAAUAAAAAAAUCAAAAUUUAUCCAAUUUUUAUUUGAAGUCCCAAUAGGAGCAUAUCCAGGAAAAGUCUAAUCAAACCAAAGCCGUGAAAUUAGAAACCAAAAGAUUGACUAAAUUUGUUUUUAUAGUGAGCCAGCUUAGUGGUUGGGCAAAAACUUGAUGGAAAGAUUAUUAUUUAUUCAUCAAAACAAUUAUUUAUUUUGGAGGAAAACCCAAACUCAAUUUCAUUUGAUCAAAGUCACACCAUCAAAGAAACCCAAAAAAAAGUAUUUAAUUGAUAUAAUAAUUUUUUUUUUGGUAUACUAAUAUAAGAAAAAUAAAAAUCUAUUAAAAUGAGUGGCACUCGAACAACUUUAAAUGUUUUCAUACUUUAUCUUCCAGGCAAGAAAAAUCAAUAAAAAUAGGCGACGCUAUUUUGUAAAUUGAUAGAGAUAUCAAUAAAAAAAACAUGGAUAAAUUUUUUUUUCAAUUUGAAUAUUUAUUUUCAUGAAAUCUGAUAAAUAAAAUAUCUUUAUUAGUUCUAUUAUCAUAAUGAUGAUGAUGUCAUAGUUAAUUUUUUUUUUAGAUGAGUUUGGAUUGAUUUUAUUUUUUUUAUUUUAUUUUUAUUUUUUUAAAAAAUUGUUUUGUUUUCAGUUUGAAUUUAAAUAUUUAUUUUCAUGAAAUCUGAUAAAUAAAACAUAUAUCUUUAUUAGUUCUAUUAUCAAAAUGAUGAUGUCAUAGUUAAAUUCUUUUAGAUGAGUUUGGAUUGAUUUUAUUUUAUUUUUAAUUUAUGAAAAGUAAAGAUAUGUAAAAUACUUAUAUUUAAUAUUUUUUUAUUCAAGUACUCUAAUUGAUUUUUUUUUAUUUAAGUACUUAAUAAACUAGUGUGUGACCAUAAAUUUGUUUACAGAAUAAAUGUAAGGUUUACAUAAAGUAACUAUGGAAUAAUAAGAAUAUUAACAAUAAGAUUUAUUUAUAAAUAAAUCAUAGAUUUAAUGUCUCUAAAUUUUAAAUUUGGUGUGAAUAAAUUCAAGGGAUUUACAAGAUAAAUAGGACAAUAUUAGCCUUCGAGAAUCUCCCACUCUUCCUCUUCAAGGAAUUAAUUAGUGGGUAGUUAGUUUGUUCUAUUUUCUUCACGUUGUUUAUAGUUUUACCUAUAUUAUUGUCACAAAUUAGGAAUAGUUAAAACUAGUGAUAUUUCUCGCUUGCUAUUAAAACUAUAGUUUUUUUAAUUUGUUUCUCAAUUAUUGAAACAAUAAUAUUUUUAAUAUUAUCAUUCCCAUACUUUUAUAAAAAUCAUUUCUAUUAAACCACAUUAACAUGUUUAAAUUAAAGUAUAUUAUCCCUUCUUAAUUAAGGAACAAAAAUUAAACAAGCUUACGAACCCAGCUCGUGGAACUGCCUUGUUCUUUUUUCUUCUUUUUUUGAACUGCCUUGUCUCUCUUUCUUUUUUGUCUUCCAUUUCUUAAUCCUUCAAGAUUUAAAAUACAUAGCAAUUUAAGUUAGGAAUGUUGAUGAAACAUUAAAUAUAACCAGAAAACAAAUAAAAAAAUUAAUUAUUAUUUUUUAAAGUAUUUUUUACUUAAAAAUAUAUUAAAAUAAUAUAAAUUUUAUUUUUUAAUAUCAGCACAUUAAAAAAAUCAAGAUAUAUAUAUAUAUAUAUAAAAUAAUUUUAAAUAAAAAAUUAAAAUUUUAUCCAAUUUUUAUUUGGCCAACCGGGGCAUAUCCAGGAAAAGUCUAUCAAGAAACGAAGAUAUUCGGAGAAUCACAGAAAAUAAAUCAAACCAAAAGAUGGAUCAAAUUUGUCUCUACAGGAGCCAUCUUAGUGAUGGGGCAAAAACUUGAUGGAGAGAUAAUUAUUUAUUUAUCAAAACAAUUAUUUAUUCUAGAGAGGAAAACCCAAACUCAAUUUCAUAAUAAAAAAAGUUGGCAUAUUAAUAUAAAAAAAUAAAAAUCUACUAAAAUGGAUGGACUCAAAUAGUUCUGAAUGUUCAUCUUGUGAUCCAUUUUUGGGUCCCCGCACAAAAAAAAAAUCAAUCAAAAAUAUAUCAAAAAAAUAAUAAUUGUAGUGAAAAGAGGAUGUUAGAGCGUCUAGAAAAUGGUCAAAAUCAAUCCUAAAAGUCAAGCAUUAUUCUUGCAUGGUUGAUCUUUGUGCGCGUGCAGGACUUUUGAACGAAGCUUGGGACUUGAUCAAGAAGAUGCCUGGAAAACGAGAUGAAAUUGUGUUGGGGUCAUUGCUUGGUGCUGUCAGAGGCGUAGAAAUGCAGAUGUUGGUGAAAGGGUCAUUCAAUUGUUUCCAGAGAUGCAAUUAUCUCAUCUAAGAUAUAUGCAAAUAUGAGAAGGUGGGAUGAUUCUGCAAAGAUGAGGCAGUGUGGUGUCUCUAAAACCCCUGACUGUAGCUGGAUUGACGUUGGAGCUCGUGCUCAUGAAUUUCAUGCUGGUGACAGCUUACAUCAUCAUUCGUAGAACAUAUACCAAUUGCUGAAUGAGGAGAUGAAGAGAGAAGGUUACAUUCCAAAUAUAUAUCGGUUGCAUAUAGAGGUGGAAAUGUUGAAAACUUGGUGGCCUCUUUCAGCCAUUGAGCAGUGCAUUCGGAGGGAUUGUAUCUUCUGGUUGAUGACUAUAGCCAAAAUGUUGAAUGAUAAGUUGUGUUCUUAAGAGCUUGAGCAAGGAUCUCUAUCUUGCUGAUAGAAAUGUAUAGUUUACCCUCACAUGAGUAUGUUUCUGUAGAAUGAAAAUGGUUGUUGGAUUGGUACAUGCAUUUGCUGUAAAAUAAUGCAAGUUCAUUGCGGAAAGAAUGCUAAAACUAUUUUUUUUUCCAGAACAUAAGGAGGGAAUGCAGGGGGGAUAUUGGUGGAUUGAAAUAAAAUGCACUUGACACCUUAUAAGUUUUUAAGGGAUGCCAUAAAUCAUCAUUUUCAAUAGUCCUCUAAGCCAUAAUGUUGUUUAGUUUCUGAACAGACUUCACUUGGAAUCUGACAGAACCCAAUCUACGAUUAGAACUUAUGCAGAAAUUGCCUCAUAACGGGACUCCAUAUCUAUUUGUCUUUCCCUAGUGGGACCUUGUCAUUUCAAUUGUUGAUGUAAAUGCAGUGUAAAAUGUUUUUAGGCCUUGAUUGUAGUUUCUGCUUGGAAAGUAGUUUCUAUAAAAAAUAAAUUAUUCAAAAAUAAAUUAUUUUAUGAUAUUUAGCAGUGUUAUAAAAAAUAAAUUGAAAAAUAUUUUUAUUUUUCCUGUUUAAUUAUAGCAGACUUAACUUUAUUUUCAUAUAUUCUUUCGCCAUAUAUUUGUCCAUUUCUAAUUGGAUCUAUUAUUCUUGUAAUUCUCAUUUUCUAGUUUUUUUUAGAGGAGGUUUAAUUUUUUUGUUUUUACCUCCAGGUGAAAGCUAAGGUUUUCUAGUUUUCUGUACAUCACUUUUGGAACAUCCGAUACCUAGUCUAAGCGUAAUUAAAUGACUUUAAUCAAGCAUUGCAGCAUAUGUUGGACGUUUGAGAUUAGAGUAUUCAGAAGUGGAGAUGAAUUGUUAUGUGGAAUCUCGAGACUGCUUUGAUUCAUUAAUUUGCUCAAUACCGGGUGGUCAUCCAUUUCAAGUGGGGAGUGCCAUAUGGGCAAGGGUCAGCCCUGAAGGGAUUCGUUCUCCACAUUACCCUUUGAUAUUAGCUGGGAAACUCAAUCUAAGACAGCUCAAUACUCUCAGUUACUAAAGUUGUAGAUCAAACAAAUUAUCUAAGUGCUCACAAGCUUAUAUACAAUCAGUGAAACAANNNNNNNNNNNNNNNNNNNNNNNNNNNNNNNNNNNNNNNNNNNNNNNNNNNNNNNNNNNNNNNNNNNNNNNNNNNNNNNNNNNNNNNNNNNNNNNNNNNNAUUGAUCAUCCGUAAAUCAAGUAAUAAUGUAAUAUACAAGGAAAGUAAAAACUCAUGGAAUUGAAAAGCCUCCGCUAUAUAAAAACCCUUAAAACCGAAUGGAACUGUAUAAAUUAAUACGACAUCGUUUGGGCAUGCUUUUAAACUUGUUUAAAUCUUAAAACUAGAAUACACAAUGAAGCACAAAGUCUUGGUACCAUCAAAGCUAUGAAAACCCAAACUUGGAUAAAAUGGGAAGAUUAUCCACUAGAAAAUAAUAGCAAUUGUUGAUGCUCACCUCAAUAAAGUGAAACCAAGCUCGUCGCCAAUAUGGAUUUAUAUAUAGAACUGCACCAAUCACCAGCAGCACCAUGAUGUAUGCAACCCAAAAGGUCACAUAGAAAACCUCCAUAUUCAUGAAGCCACCAUGAUCUUCAUUGUUCGUUGAAGUUGGCGUUGAUGAUGGUGGCAUAACAGCAGCACAUAUUUUGGGUAGCGGUUCUCCACAAAGAAAAGGGUUGUCCUUGUAGCAACUCUCAUCAAACGUGGCAAACUGUGCAACUCUCGCAGGAGUCUUACCGGAUAAAUUAUUGUGAGCCACACUAAAAACUUCUAGAGAAAAUAGUUCAGUAAGUCGAGGUGGGAUUUCUCCAUCCAGUUUGUUGUAGGAAAGAUCCAAGCUCUCUAUUUCCUUUAAGUUCCAAAAUGUUGGUGGAAUUGGUCCAGUCAAACUGUUGUGCGAAAGGUUCAAUGCCUUGAUCUUGCUGAGGUUUCCAAUUUCAGGAGGAAUAUUCCCGGUGAAAUUGUUGCAUGAGAAAUCAAUUCCUAUUAAGUACUGGAUAAUGCUUCCUUUAUAAGGAAGGGAUACAUUCUUUGUUGUAAACUCGAAAGAUUGUUGUGAUGAGAACAUAGAAUCAUGGGAAUUGUAUUGAAAAGGAAAAGGAUGAGUAGAUAUCAUCCAAGAGAGGAUGUUACCAGAAAGAUAAUUGUGAGAUAGAUCAAUCACGGUUAAUUGGUCCAACCUGCAUAAUCGAAUUGGGAUUUCACCUUCAAGAUUGUUAUAACUCAAGAGUAGAAAUCUCAAGUUAGAUAGCCUGCCAAUCCAUUCUGGAAUUCUACCAGUUAAAUCAUUAUGGGAAAGAUCUAAUGCGAAUAUCUCAGAGGAGUCAUAAAAUGCCAUUGCGAUCGGUCCUUGCAACUUAUUUCUAGACAAAUAAACAACUCUUAAUUUUGAAGAAGUGUUGAAUCUAGGUGGUAAAGGACCAGAUAAAUUGUUCCUUGAUAGGUCCAAGAAUUCAAGAGAAGACAUAUUCCCAAUCCAUCCAGGGAUCUGCCCUUGCAAACUGUUGUUGGACAGGUCUAACUCGUACAUCAAGCUCAUGUUACCUAAUGAGGAAGGAAUGCUUCCAUUGAAACCAUUAUCAGACAUCAAUAAAACUUCUAACCCUGGCAAAUGAGCUCUAAUUUCUGAAGGGAUUUGUCCUUGGAAGUGAUUCAUUGAUAUACUUAGGAAUGACAAAUUCACAUGAGAACUCUUUGGCAACAAGAAUGGACCUGAAAGAGAACAAUUUUCUAAAGAAAGACGUUUGAGGUAUGUGUUGUUCUCAAUCAACCAAUUUGGAAACUCUCCCUUUAUUUGGAAGUUUGUAAGAUCCAAAGAUUGCAGGCUGAACUGAUGGUAAAGGAACUUGGGAAAUGCUCUCGUAUUUUGUCCACCAUUGCUCAAAGAAAGGGACUCUAACUGGAACUUUGGGGUGAGAUUAUGAUCAUCUUCUUCUGCACAUAUUUCAUUCCCUGAACCAUAAAAAGACUUGAGUUUUGAAAGGUUGUAUAACGGGCUCAAUGACAUAGGUAUCUUCAAGUGAUUGGAAGAGAGAUAUAAUCGUUGAAGGGAAGUCAUAUUUGCCAGACACGGAGGCAAGAAACCAAUGAGAUCAUUGUCAUACAUAUAUAGCUCUUGAAGAUGAUUUAAGUCACAUAGGCCUGAUCACAUUAUAAUUUAGGAAAAAAAAUUAAAACUUUGAGUUUCUAAUGGAAAAGAUAUAACCUAGGGAGAGGGUAAGAGUCAUCAACCUUACCUUGGGUUGUAGGUAAUUGGCCAUUUAGACUACAAUUCUGCAACCAUAAAGUUUUAAGAGAGGGCAUCGUUCUGAUGGUUUGUAAGAUGUUGUUACUGAGAGUAUUGGAACUUAAAUCCAAGAAUUCCAAGUUCUUGAGAUUAAAGAAGCCUACUACAAUCAAGAAAUUAUAUUAACGUAGAAGCAAUUAAAAUUAUAAAGGAAAUGAAAGAGUAAGAGUCAUCAACCUUACCUUGGGUUGUAG
rnacentral:lncRNA from 1 species